CCGGCUACGUUCCGGGUGGUUACGUUCUGGGCGCUUGGGCAAAAGAGAGAGAGAGAGAGAGAGAGCGGCGUGGUUGCGUGUCUUCACUGGAAAAUGUACUGUAGUUAGCAUGCUAGUGUAUUCGCGAGGAACUGCCGGCGACCUCUGAAUUGUGAUAUUGCCAGUCUCUGAUUCUGGUGUGGAAUAAUGCUGAUGAUAAAUGAUUUACGCACGUCUCCCGCAGGGAGUUGGGCUGUGUAGCAAACAGCAGAAGGGAAUCUUGUCGCUAUCGAUCUGUUGUGGAGAGCAGGUGCUGGGGUUAGCUAGCUGCCAAGGGAAGCUAUGGACAUCCUGAGCCCCCUGUCCUGAGUGGCGCCCCCCCUCCCCGUCCUGCCGUCACUUCGCCCCCGCCCCCCCGCGUGACCCCCCC